UCUCUCUCUCUCUCUCUCUCUCUCUCUCUCUCUCUCUCUCUCUCUCUCUCUCUCUCUCUCUCUCUCUCUCUCUCUCUCCCUCUCUCUCUCUCUCUCUCUCUCUCUCUCUCUCUCUCUCUCUCUCUCUCUCUCUCUCUCUCUCUCUCUCUCUCUCUCUCUCUCUCUCUUGCCCUAGUGUGAUGCUCCUCAUGUUCCCUCGCUCACAGGCCGCUAGAAACCCCAAGAAGUGCCAUACCUUACGGUCUCUAGACAACCUCCGCUCUCCCCUGGGUCACCUGGGUGUGUGUGUGUGUGUGUGUGUGUGUGUGUGUGUGUGUGUGUGUGUGUGUGUGUGUGUGUGUGUGUGUGUGUGUGUGUGUGUGUGUGUGUGUGUGGUAUCGCUUUGAUCUGCCUCUCAGGCUUUGUCUGCGACAGUGUGUGUUUUUUCUAAGAAGUGGUUGCGGUUUGAUGCGCAAUGAAGUAGAUUUUAACCACUUAGAGAACAUGAGAAACGGUGUGUGUGUGUGUGUGUGUGUGUGUGUGUGUGUGUGUGUGUGUGUGUGUGUGUGUGUGUGUGUGUGUGUGUGUGUGUGUGUGUGUGUGUGUGUGUGUGUGUGUGUGUGUGUGUGUGUGUGUGUGUUGUACAUUUGUGCAUCCUGUCCUUUGCCUAUCCUUGGUGACUUCUUUGUUAUUUUUUGGAGAUUGUGUGUGGGUGCAUGUUUCUGUGUGUGUGCGUGUCUAUACGUGUAUGUGGGUGUGGGUGUGUGUGUGUGUGUGUGUGUGUGUGUGUGUGUGUGUGUGUGUGUGUGUGUGUGUGUGUGUGUGUGUGUGUGUGUGUGUGUGUGUGUGUGUGUGUGUGUCUGUCUGUGCAUGCGCUUCCACCCCUUAAGAUCAAAGGGUCCGGGCUGCUUAACCUGUUGACUGGUACAGACCUGACGGGACGUCCCGACAAAGGGACCAAGAGAAAGACGAGUUGCUAGAGAGUUACUCCCUUCAUUAUGCCCAGCCCCACCACCACCACCCCCACCUCCACCUCCACCCCCACCCCACCACCGGCCCCUCAGAGUGCUCCCCCUCUCCUUAAGAUCCUGGGUCCCUGGGAGAUGCCGGCAGAGCCAAUGUUCUCAGUAGAGGACGGGGGGAGGAUGGGGGAGGGCGGGGGGAGAGCGGGUGAGUCGGCCCCCUCGUCUCAACAGUCUCAAAGCGGCCCUGGGCCCCUGAGGCGACAACCGACCACAAACAAAAGGAGAAAGGAAGGACACUUUUAUCUGACGCGUAGAUUACUAUCGCUCCCUUCUCCCUCGCCCCUCCCGCCUCACCCCAACCGCACCCUCCCCCCCCCGCGCCACGCCCUUGGGUAGAGCAGUUACUGCAGCGCAUUCAGAAAGCUCACAACAAGAGGGAGCGAUGAGGGAGGGGGAGGUGAGGAGUCCGCUCAGGAGAAGCAGGAGGUGCAGAGAGGAGAUCAGAGACUCACGUUUUCCUGGGGAAGGUUGAGGAGGUUUUUGGGGUUGUGACAUCGAUGGAAUUCAUAAACAUAUAUAACCUUUUUUGGAAGAAUUGUAACAUAUAUAUAUAUAUAUUUAUUACAAUAUAUAUAUAUGAAGAAAAUAUAUAUACUGUAGUGGGAAUCCUCAGUAGAAGACAAAUAAAGAAAAAGAAAAAUGGCGACAUCCUGAGGGUAUUUGUAGUUCUUUAUCUGUCAAGACGAGUGGUUUGUUGCUAGAAUAGGAGCUAUAGUGUUUUUUUUGUAGGUGUUUUUUUUUUGCGAGUUUUGUGGACAGUUUUAGCUUUGGGUUUCGGGGAUAUUUAUUUUUCAUCACAUCGGCUGAACGGCCGCACUUCCAGAGAAAGAAGAAGAACGACCGAGAGAACAGUCACAGCGGCUAUUGAUGUCGCCGCUGUAAAUACUCCGUUUGUUUUACAAAGAAAGUUUCAAUGAAAUAUACUAGAGGUGGGAGGAGGGGGGGGGGGGGGGUUCUCUUAAUUUUUCUACACAGAAGAAAGAGAAUAAGAGAGCCGUAUAAAAAAAUAAAAAAAACACUUCUCCCAACAAACAAAAGAGAAGAGAGGAGCUUCUUUUCUGCAUCUCUCUUUUAUUUCUUUUUCAUUUCCUUUUGCGGUCCAAACUCCCCGGCCACGCCUACGAAUCAAAUAAACAAAACUACAAACAGGGCGCCCGCGGGCAGUGCCCUUCAGGAUGCAGCCGGCUCCUCAGUGGUUUUCUGCUGACGGGUGCGGCGGAGGCUGUGGUCCAGCUCGCUCUAGCGGCUGGGGGGGGGUUGUAAUGGGAGUAAACCAGUCACUGUACAGUUACAAAAGGAAUAAGGAGAGAGUUAUUUUUUUACGAGCCCCAUUUUACUGUGGCUCAUUCGAGGCGUGUGAGUGUGUGUGUGUGUGUGUGUGUGUGUGUGUGUGUGGCCAUUUGUGUGAGUGUGUGUGUGCUGUGCAUGUCUGUGUGUGUGUGUGUAUGCGUCUGUGUGUGUGCAUCCCUGUCUGUGUGUGUGUGGUGGGUGUGUGUGUGUGUGUGUGUGUGUGUGUGUGUGUGUGUGUCUGUGUGUGUGUGUGUCUGCGUGUGUCAGGGCUGAUUAUGAGAACCUGUGAACCAGUGAGUGACACAAUUCUCAACACUGUGGCCCCUCCCCCCACACCCUCGGGAGCAGAAGUCUGACAUGUAAAUGAUUCUCAUUAAGCAUUGUGUGUGUGUGUGUGUGUGUGUGUGUGUGUGUGUGUGUGUGUGUGUGUGUGUGUGUGUGUGUGUGUGUGUGUGUGUGUGUGUGUGUGAGAGCGUGUGUGUGUGUGUGCGUGCGUGUGUGUGUGUGUUCACACUUGUGUGCGUUCAUUCCCCCCUGAUCCGUUCUCUGACCUGUUGGAUAGGUGGUUGUGUCUUCACUAGUUUUGAUUUUUUAAAUAUUAUUACUCCUGCUUUUGCUCCUCUUUAUUUCUCUCUGUAAAUAUCAGUGGCGUGGACUUACAGUGGUGAACAACUGCCUUUGUAUUACUUUGAAAUAUGUUGUGUAAAUAGUGUUUUGUUGAUGCUUUUUGUAUGACUUGAUUAAUCCAUUGUAGUGCGGUAAUUCCAGCUGGAUCAGCCAUGUUUCACACACAGUACCAUCGGAGCUUGUACAAUACAAAUAAAAACUCACGCCAUGGUUGUGUUGUAAGAUUUCCUUUAUUUUUUUCUCUGUUAUCGAUGUCGAUUGUCUUGCAGAUUUUGUGUAAUUUAUUGGUUUAAUUUAUCCUAAUUUAUUUGAUGUUGUUUUUCUUUUUCUUUAACUUCAAAACAGGGAAGGCUGUACUGCAAUUCAUUUAGUAGAAUCAACUUUGGAAAAUUGUUUUUAAUCUGAAUUACCUGAAGGCGUGUUAGAAUUUGAAAAAAAAAGACAGGAAAUGGGAAACGUGAUCUUGGCAGCUAAAUGAAACUGGAAGGACGUGUCAAAAGGGGUUUUCGUUUUUCCCAGGGAAGGUCCAGGGGCUUUGAACUAGUUUGAUCCUUUUCUUUUUGUAUACAAUCUCCGUAUUUCCCCCUGUGUGGCUCUGGCCCGGCGCACAGAUAAAACCAGUAGUCAAAUUGCCUUUCGUGCCUUCACCCUCUAUGAACUGAAUGUAUGUGCAGUAUAUAUGCAAGCUUGUGCAAAAUGAUUGAAAAAAAAAUGAAAAUAAAAAAUGAGAAACAGAAGGGC
ensembl:lncRNA